rnacentral:lncRNA from 1 species
UUCUGUAAUAAAAGCAAGAUAAAAGUUUUACAGAAGUUUUGGACAAAAAGGAAAAAUCACUACAAAAAUCACUACAGCACAUUUACAGCACAUUUACACAGUCAUUGACUUUGCACAGUUAAUUCCAGUGUUUAUCCAGUUAAGUGCACCAUCUUAAUCCAGUUAUAAUUACAGUAUGUCUGUGUAUUUCCAUAUUUUUUUGUACUAAGCUGCAUAAUGGAAUAAAAGGAAGAUUACUUUUAUUUUUAGCAAAAUAAAGUAUUUUACAUGGAAGGUUCAAUCCAGGGAAAUAACCAUCAUUUAAUUACUGACUCCUCUACUGAUGGACAGUUUUGCCUUUCUCCAAGGAAUGGAAAUCUGGCACUUCUCUUAAAGAACUCUGAUCCUUUGAGAAGUAAUUUUUAACCCAGGUGUUAUUAAACAGUCCUUUCACAGCAAAUGAACACAGCUCUCACCUGCUCCUUUGGCGUGCACGACUCUCU